CCAACUCACAUACUCCCUCAGGACAAGCUCCAAAUUUUUAGAGACAGGUUUUAAAUUGCUGACUAGUUGGUACUACACCCCUGCUAAAUUGCAUAGCUGGAACCCAUCCAUCCCAGAUGUUUGCUGGAGAUCAGGACAGAGAGACACUCUAACAAAUCUGGUGGCAAUGUCCACUGAUCAAGCAAUUCUAGAAAGAGAUAAUUCCACAAAUCCAUACAAUAAGUAGCCUUCCCAUCUUUCUUUACC